GAUGAACGCUGGCGGCGUGCCUAAUACAUGCAAGUCGAGCGAAUGGAUUAAGAGCUUGCUCUUAUGAAGUUAGCGGCGGACGGGUGAGUGACACGUGGGUAACCUGCCCAUAAGACUGGGAUAACUCCGGGAAACCGGGGCUAAUACCGGAUAACAUUUUGAACCGCAUGGUUCGAAAUUGAAAGGCGGCUUCGGCUGUCACUUAUGGAUGGACCCGCGUCGCAUUAGCUAGUUGGUGAGGUAACGGCUCACCAAGGCAACGAUGCGUAGCGGACCUGAGAGGGUGAUCGGCCACACUGGGACUGAGACACGGCCCAGACUCCUACGGGAGGCAGCAGUAGGGAAUCUUCCGCAAUGGACGAAAGUCUGACGGAGCAACGCCGCGUGAGUGAUGAAGGCUUUCGGGUCGUAAAACUCUGUUGUUAGGGAAGAACAAGUGCUAGUUGAAUAAGCUGGCACCUUGACGGUACCUAACCAGAAAGCCCCGGCUAACUUCGUGCCAGCAGCCGCAGUAA
rnacentral:rRNA from 1 species